rnacentral:rRNA from 1 species
UGAGGAAUAUUGGUCAAUGGACGCAAGUCUGAACCAGCCAAGUAGCGUGCAGGAUGACGGCCCUAUGGGUUGUAAACUGCUUUUAUAUGGGGAUAAAGUGGGGAACGUGUUCCCUUUUGCAGGUACCAUAUGAAUAUGGACCGGCUAAUUCCGUGCCAGCAGCCGCGGUACUACGGAAGGUUCGGGCGUUAUCCGGAUUUAUUGGGUUUAAAGGGAGCGUAGGCCGGUUGGUAAGCGUGUUGUGAAAUGUAGGAGCUCAACUUGUAGAUUGCAGCGAGAACUGUCAGACUUGAGUGCGCACAACGUAGGCGGAAUUCAUGGUGUAGCGAUGAAAUGCUUAGAUAUCAUGAAGAACUCCGAUUGCGAAGGCAGCUUACGGGAGCGAAACUGACGCUGAAGCUCGAAGGUGCGGGUAUCGAACAGG